AAGUGAUCUAUUUAUAGUAAAAUGUUGAAACCCUAGAUUCACUAGAAGACAAGAGACUUGAGCCGGUUUGGGCGAAUACUCGAUCUUGGGGAUCGAGUAAAGAGGGUGCUGCAAAGUCUGCGCCUUUGUGUCUAUGCUCCAAGUGAUCAAUUGGUUGAGUAGAUGCUUCUUCCUCUCCUAUAUGUAUGCUCAGAUGUCUGGUUGAGUGGGGAAUGAGGAGGAUCCGAAGACGUUUUUAUAGCUCAACAU
rnacentral:sRNA from 1 species